ACUCAAAUGAAUUGACGGGUCCCCGCACAAGCAGCGGAGCGUGUGGUUUAAUUCGAUGCUACACGAAGAACCUUACCUGGGUUUGACAUAGAGGUAGUAGGGAAGCGAAAGCGGACCGACCCUUCGGGGAGCCUCUACAGGUGUUGCAUGGCUGUCGUCAGCUCGUGUCGUGAGAUGUUCGGUUAAGUCCGCUAACGAGCGCAACCCUCGCUGUGUGUUACAAGUGUCACACGGUACUGCCGAUAUUAAGUCGGAGGAAGGUGGGGAUGACGUCAAGUCAGCAUGACCUUUAUAUCCAGGGCUACACACACGCUACAAUGGCCAGUACAAUGGGUUGCCAAGCCGCGAGGCGGAGCCAAUCCUAAAAAGCUGGCCUCAGUUCAGAUUGCAGUCUGCAACUCGACUGCAUGAAGUUGGAGUUGCUAGUAACCGCAGGUCAGCAAUACUGCGGUGAAUACGUUCCCGGGGAUUGUACACACCGCCCGU
rnacentral:rRNA from 1 species